AUUCGUCAGGAGGAGGCCCCCUGGCUUCCGGGAAGCGAAACUGCGGAUAAGGGCAACCCGCGGCGUUUUCCUCUAGACGCCGCCGCCUGCGGUAAGGCAGAGGCAGCCCUCGAGGGUACUCCUGGGCCUAUGCAGAUGAUGGUAUCCUGAUACUUUAAUUAGGAAAAGAAAAAGAAUCCUGCAGCUUUCUUUGCUGCCUUGGAGCACCUGAUGCAUGGCUGGCGUUUUAGACCUGUUAAUGAUGUCAAAAGAAAUUCAGAAAGUUUCCUGGAUGGGAGUACUCUAUGGCGGAGGAAAACAAGUGUUCACGAACAGAAAACUUCAAAUCCAAACCUGCUUGUAAUUGAAUCCCCCCACUGCUUAAUUGGAACUAGAAUGGCUCCACAACCAGAUUUGAAACAUCUUCUGAAGCUGGUAGGAACAUCAGCUCUCCCUUUUAAAAAUAAAAAUUAUAUCAUUAACUGUGUUAAGUGAAGAUUGGUGUUCUGUGGAAUAUCAGGAAAUGAGCGCACCCCAGGAUUGUCUGAAUAUAGGGCAAUUAGCGAUGUCUUCGGUCUUACACAUGGCCUCCCUCCCCACCAAAGCCUAAAGGCUAAAGCUGGAUUAGUCUGUA